CUAACACAGUGAAACCCGUCUCUACUAAAAAUACAAAAACUUAGCUGGGCGUGGUGGUGGGCACCUGUAGUCCCAGCUACUCGGGAGACUGAGGCAGGAGAAUGGCGUGAACCCGGGAGGCGGAGCUUGCAGUGAGCCGAGAUCGCACCACUGCGCUCCAGCCUGGGCAACAGAGUGAGACUCUGUCUCAGAAGAAAAAAAGAAAAUAUUUUAUCUGGAAGUUUUAUACAAUUUCAAUAAUCAUAUAAUGUUUUUUUCACCAAGCUUCAUGUUGGUGUUGCCCCUCCUUACUCCAGUG
rnacentral:lncRNA from 1 species